rnacentral:lncRNA from 12 species
AUAAUUCUACACAAAAAUAUUCAAACUUUAGUAUUUAGUAACUACAAUAUAAUGUCAACAUUAUUAUUAGUAAGGGUGUUCAAAUUUAGUAUACUGCUGGACUUUGCCAAAAUUUAGAAUUUAAUAUACUAUGAAUACUAGAAAAUAAAUUUUGCUUUCUAAAGGUCAUAAUUAUAAAAAAUGAAAAGCUAUUUUUCCUCCUGGGUUGAGCAUUCACACUUCUAAUUAAAUUCACUCCUAGGUCAGAGCACACUCGUCCAGUAUAAGCCAUUCCAAAUUCUCCUGAUGACAGCAUGACACAUUGUAGGAGCUUAAAUAGAUUCAAUAGGUGGUAUGCAGAGGUCUACAAGAGAGUGUCAGCCGUAAGAAUGGAAAGGCAUGGCAGGACCGAAAGUUACACAGAAACUAAAGAGCACAUAAUCAAGGCCAGUGGUUCUCAAGUGAGGCUAUUUUUGGUUGUCACAGCGACACAACAGGCUGAGGUGUGCUACUAG